rnacentral:piRNA from 1 species
UGGCACAGGACUGGCUGAAGGAGGCCCGGA